rnacentral:rRNA from 1 species
AUUGAACGCUGGCGGCAGGCCUAACACAUGCAAGUCGAGCGGUAGAGAGAAGCUUGCUUCUCUUGAGAGCGGCGGACGGGUGAGUAAUGCCUAGGAAUCUGCCUGGUAGUGGGGGAUAACGUUCGGAAACGGACGCUAAUACCGCAUACGUCCUACGAGAGAAAGCAGGGGACCUUCGGGCCUUGCGCUAUCAGAUGAGCCUAGGUCGGAUUAGCUAGUUGGUGAGGUAAUGGCUCACCAAGGCGACGAUCCGUAACUGGUCUGAGAGGAUGAUCAGUCACACUGGAACUGAGACACGGUCCAGACUCCUACGGGAGGCAGCAGUGGGGAAUAUUGGACAAUGGGCGAAAGCCUGAUCCAGCCAUGCCGCGUGUGUGAAGAAGGUCUUCGGAUUGUAAAGCACUUUAGGUUGGGAGGAAGGGUUGUAGAUUAAUACUCUGCAAUUUUGACGUUACCGACAGAAUAAGCACCGGCUAACUCUGUGCCAGCCGCCGCGGUAA